AGAGUUUGAUCCUGGCUCAGGGCGAACGCUGGCGGCGUGCCUAAGGUAUGCAAGUCGAACGCCAGACCUUCGGGUCGGCGUGGCGGACGGGUGAGUAACACGUGGGAACGUGCCCCUGACUCGGGGAUAAUCCGGAGAAAUCCGGGCUAAUAUCCGAUGGUCUCCGAUUUAUCGGAGUAAAGUUUUUCGGUCAGGGAUCGGCCCGCGUCCUAUCAGCUAGUUGGUAGGGUAAUGGCCUACCAAGGCAAUAACGGGUAGGGGGUGUGGGAGCAUGACCCCCCACAAUGGCACUGAGAAAAGGGCCAUACUCCUACGGGAGGCAGCAAUCAGGAAUCUUGCACAAUGCCCGAAAGGGUGAUGCAGCGACGCCGCGUGGAGGAAGAAGGCCUUCGGGUUGUAAACUCCUGUUAAGAAGCCACGGCAAACUACGUGCCAGCAGCAGCGGUCAUACGUAGGUGGCAAGCGUUGCCCAGUAUUAUUGGGCGUAAAGAGUGCGUAGGCGCCCUGUUAAGUUCUUAGUGAAAGCCCUCCGCUCAACGGAGGAAAGACUAGGAAUACUGAUAGGGUAGAGAUAAGCAGAGGAAAGUGGAAUCUCGGGAGGAGGGGUGAAAUCCAAUGAUCUCCGAGAGAACACCGAAGGCGAAGGCAGCUUUCUGGGCUUAUUCUGACGCUGAGGCACGAAAGCGUGGGUAGCGAAAGGGAUUAGAUACCCCUGCAGUCCACGCCCUAAACGAUGCUCGCUAAACGUUGGUGCCCCGAUUUUAUCGGAGUCAGUGUUGUAGCUAACGCGUUAAGCGAGCCGCCUGGGAAUUACGGUCGCAAGACUGAAACUCAAAGGAAUUGGCGGGGACCCGCACAAGCGGUGGAGCGUGUGGUUUAAUUCGAUGAUAACCGAAGAACCUUACCAGGACUUGACAUUCCGGCGACCGCUCUAGAAAUAGAGCUUUCCUUCGGGACGACGGAACAGGUGUUGCAUGGCUGUCGUCAGCUCGAGUCGUGAGAUGUAUGGUUAAGUCCCAUAUCGAGCGCAACCCCUAUCCUGUGUUAGAAACCCGAUUUAUCGGGGUGAUGUCACAGGAAACUGCCUCGGAAACGGGGAGGAAGGUGGGGAUGACGUCAAGUCAGUAUUGCCCUUAUGUCCUGGGCGACACACGCGCUACAAUGGUCGGUACAAUAGGCUGCGACAGGGUAACCUUGAGCUAACCCUUAAAACCGAUCUCAGUUCGGAUUGGGGUCUGCAACUCGACCCCAUGAAGCCGGAAUCGCUAGUAAUCGCCGGUCAGCCAUACGGCGGUGAAUACGUUCUCGGGUCUUGCACACACCGCCCGU
rnacentral:rRNA from 1 species